rnacentral:rRNA from 1 species
GAACGCGUGUAGCAAUACACGAGUGGCGCACGGGUGAGUAACGCGUGGAUAUCUGCCUUUUGGUUCGGAAUAACCCCGGGAAACUGGGGCUAAUACCGGAUGGUUCCUACGGGAUAAAGAUUUAUCGCCAAAAGAUGAGUCCGCGUCCGAUUAGCUAGUUGGUGAGGUAAUGGCUCACCAAGGCGACGAUCGGUAGCUGGUCUGAGAGGACGAUCAGCCACACUGGGACUGAGACACGGCCCAGACUCCUACGGGAGGCAGCAGUGGGGAAUAUUGGACAAUGGGGGCAACCCUGAUCCAGCCAUGCCGCGUGAGUGAUGAAGGCCUUCGGGUUGUAAAGCUCUUUUGGCGGGGACGAUGAUGACGGUACCCGAAGAAUAAGCCCCGGCUAACUUCGUG